CCUACGGGAGGCAGCAGUGGGGAAUUUUGGACAAUGGGCGCAAGCCUGAUCCAGCAAUGCCGCGUGAGUGAAGAAGGCCUUCGGGUUGUAAAGCUCUUUUGUCAGGGAAGAAACGGCAGUUUCUAAUACAGAUUGCUAAUGACGGUACCUGAAGAAUAAGCACCGGCUAACUACGUGCCAGCAGCCGCGGUAAUACGUAGGGUGCAAGCGUUAAUCGGAAUUACUGGGCGUAAAGCGUGCGCAGGCGGUUUUGUAAGUUUGUCGUGAAAUCCCCGGGCUCAACCUGGGAAUGGCGAUGAAGACUGCAAGGCUAGAAUCUGGCAGAGGGGGGUAGAAUUCCACGUGUAGCAGUGAAAUGCGUAGAGAUGUGGAGGAACACCGAUGGCGAAGGCAGCCCCCUGGGUCAAGAUUGACGCUCAUGCACGAAAGCGUGGGGAGCAAACAGGAUUAGAUACCCUGGUAGUCCACGCCCUAAACGAUGUCUACUAGUUGUCGGGUUUUAAUUAACUUGGUAACGCAGCUAACGCGUGAAGUAGACCGCCUGGGGAAGUACGGUCGNAAGAUUAAAACGNAAAGUGAAUUGACCGNUGAGAGNGCGAGACGACGACGAGGAGGAGG
rnacentral:rRNA from 1 species